CGCGUAGGCGGCUAUAUAAGUCAGAUGUGAAAGCCCCGGGCUCAACCUGGGAACUGCAUUUGAUACUGUAUGGCUAGAGUUUGGUAGAGGGAAGUGGAAUUCCACAUGUAGCGGUGAAAUGCGUAGAUAUGUGGAGGAACACCAGUGGCGAAGGCGACUUCCUGGACCAAAACUGACGCUGAGGUGCGAAAGCGUGGGUAGCAAACA
rnacentral:rRNA from 1 species